UUUUACCAAAAUAUAUGUAGUUUUGCGAUAAAAUUUAUACUAAACAUGUAGUUUUGUAAAACUAUUAUUUAAAUUUGUAGUUUUGCAAUGAUUUUAUUAAAGUAUUUGUAGUUUUACGAAAUUUACUCUUUAAACUUGUGGCACAUUAACUUUCAGUUUUGUUUUUCAAAGUUAGGUGGCUACAUUUACUGCCUGAUACAAGCUUAAAGUGAUGGUAAAGAUGUUUGAUGGCAAAUUAGUAAAAGAUAAUCAUAUCUAGAUUCUAAGAUAUUUCAAUGUCUGUUCUCAGCGUUUCUUAAAAGGAAAAAGGUGAGAAGAAUGGUGCGACAGCCCAAAAGGAGUUUGGAAAUAUUUUGUGGGGAAGAAUGCGCAACGAGGGGUUGGAUGCUGUGCAUCCACGAGCUUUCCUUUUACCCAAUUGAACAUGGCUUUGGGAAGAAGAGAAAGGCAUUUGAUGGAGGUAACUCGCUCAGGUGGGGAGAAGAGCCUGCGCUCCACCUGGCCACUGCAGUGGCUGCUCUGUCUAUGCCUUCGCCUUUUUUCACGAAAGAGGUAAAAAGGAGCUGUGCACUCGAAACUUUGAUGCUGGCAACCUAUACGUACCGGCAUCAUGCUAUACCGCUUGCUUGUGAAACCUGUGAUGCAGGAACAGUCCAUCGGGGUAUAAGUAAAUCCUGCUGUACAAAUGCACAUUGUUUUCUGCUGAUCAACGAUUGGAGUUCUAGACAUGUGGUAGGUACUUUAGGUUUUCAUUACCCCUAGACGGCGGCUGUAUGAAGCAGCUGAUUUCUGCAGCUUGUGCCCCUGAUUCUUUACAAGAAGCACGAGUCCAGCAAAUCACAGCCGUGUCAAUUUACUGAGCUGCUAUCAGUAUACCGACCAAUUCUGCAGAUGCAAAGCAUCAGCCUGUGCAAGACAACUGUACCUGUAUGGAAAGAUGCAGUUAUUUAAUCCCGUUAAAACCGGCAAGCAGAUCCCAAGAGUAGCCACCCCGCCUGCCUGUCCCAAGUACUCUCUCGCUGCUCCCCCACAACCACAGGAGUUAGGCCAAUCCAGCAGCAUAGCAGUUGCAGGGCCGAGCGCCACCACCAGCGCAGGGCCCCUCCUCCGCGCCGCGGUCCGAUGCGGCAGCAGCCUUUAUGGGGAGGAGGCUCAUCGGCCGCUACAGUGCUGGUCCUCGGUCGGGCCGCGGCCGGUGACAGCUAUGCCGGCCGGGCACCGUACAUGCCUUGGGCGCCAACACAUUCAUGCCUCGCAGAGAGGUGGCAAUGAAUUGAAGCUGAUGACGGAGUGGUGCUGGCUGUGCAGAGCACGUGCGAUUCGUACACCGUCGCAGUGAUCAGUCUGGUUAUCCACAACAUCUGCUGCUUUCUUGGCUGCCGGGUUUACUCCCCGGCUGUGACGCACCGUUUGUUCCCUUUGCAAGGCAC